rnacentral:lncRNA from 1 species
GUCUGGAUGUUCUCAAAUUGCCACCAAAAGGUGCUUGGAGACCAUCCCUCAACAUCGCAACUGUGUUGACCUCUAUUCAGCUGCUCAUGUCAGAACCCAACCCUGAUGACCCGCUCAUGGCUGACAUAUCCUCAGAAUUUAAAUAUAAUAAGCCAGCCUUCCUCAAGAAUGCCAGACAGUGGACAGAGAAGCAUGCAAGACAGAAACAAAAGGUAUAAUGAAGAGAUGCUUGAUAAUCUACCAGAGGCUGGUGACUCCAGAGUACACAACUCAACACAGAAAAGGAAGGCCAGUCAGCUAGUAGGCAUAGAAAAGAAAUUUCAUCCUGAUGUUUAGGGGACUUGUCCUGGUUCAUCUUAGUUAAUGUGUUCUUUGCCAAGGUGAUCUAAGUUGCCUACCUUGAAUUUUUUUUUAAAUAUAUUUGAUGACAUAAUUUUUGUGUAGUUUAUUUAUCUUGUACAUAUGUAUUUUGAAAUCUUUUAAACCUGAAAAAU